GAUGAACGCUGGCGGCGUGCCUAAUACAUGCAAGUCGAGCGAAUGGAUUAAGAGCUUGCUCUUAUGAAGUUAGCGGCGGACGGGUGAGUAACACGUGGGUAACCUGCCCAUAAGACUGGGAUAACUCCGGGAAACCGGGGCUAAUACCGGAUAACAUUUUGAACCGCAUGGUUCGAAAUUGAAAGGCGGCUUCGGCUGUCACUUAUGGAUGGACCCGCGUCGCAUUAGCUAGUUGGUGAGGUAACGGCUCACCAAGGCAACGAUGCGUAGCCGACCUGGGAGGGUGAUCGGCCACACUGGGACGGAGACACGGCCCAGACUCCUACGGGAGGCAGCAGUAGGGAAUCUUCCGCAAUGGACGAAAGUCUGACGGAGCAACGCGGCGUGAGUGAUGAAGGCUUUCGGGUCGUAAAACUCUGUUGUUAGGGAAGAACAAGUGCUAGUUGAAUAAGCUGGCACCUUGACGGUACCUAACCAGAAAGCCACGGCUAACUACGUGCCAGCAGCCGCAGUAA
rnacentral:rRNA from 1 species